AGUGAACGCUGGCGGUAGGCCUAACACAUGCAAGUCGAACGGCAGCACAGUAAGAGCUUGCUCUUACGGGUGGCGAGUGGCGGACGGGUGAGGAAUACAUCGGAAUCUACUUUUUCGUGGGGGAUAACGUAGGGAAACUUACGCUAAUACCGCAUACGACCUACGGGUGAAAGCAGGGGAUCUUCGGACCUUGCGCGAUUGAAUGAGCCGAUGUCGGAUUAGCUAGUUGGCGGGGUAAAGGCCCACCAAGGCGACGAUCCAUAGCUGGUCUGAGAGGAUGAUCAGCCACACUGGAACUGAGACACGGUCCAGACUCCUACGGGAGGCAGCAGGGGGGAAUAUUGGACAAUGGGCGCAAGCCUGAUCCAGCCAUACCGCGUGGGUGAAGAAGGCCUUCGGGUUGUAAAGCCCUUUUGUUGGGAAAGAAAAGCAGCAGGUUAAUACCCCGCUGUUCGGACGGUACCCAAAGAAUAAGCACCGGCUAACUUCGU
rnacentral:rRNA from 1 species